GCCUCUGCUAAUGUGUACAUAGUUUAUACUAAGUGACCCAUAGGUUGAGGAGGUGGUGGCGGUGGAGGAGGAAGAUGAGAUAGCCAACACAGUUUUUUAUGUUUUUGUUUUUUUUAAUUGGGGUAGCCCCCAAAAUAUUGGGACAUAUAAAAAAAGACAACUCCGUUCUGCAGAGUAGCUGUUGACAUUAUAUUUGCACAUCCCCCUGGCGGCGACUUUGCAUGCGGAUGUCAUCCAUAUCAACUUUCGAUGCCAGUUUCUGCGCCUACCAUGGUGACCAAGGGUAACGGGAAAUCAGGGUUCCAUUCCGUACAGCGACCCUGAGAAACGGCUACCACAUGCAAGGAAG